rnacentral:rRNA from 1 species
UGGGUAACCUGCCUCAAAGAGGGGAAUAGCCUCCCGAAAGGGAGAUUAAUACCGCAUAAUAUGUUUAGGUCGCAUGACUUUAACAUCAAAGGAUUUUCUUUUAGAAAUUCCACUUUGAGAUGGACCCCGCGGCGCAUUAGCUAGUUGGUGAGGUAACGGCUCACCAAGGCAACGAUGCGUAGCCGACCUGAGAGGGUGAUCGGCCACAUUGGAACUGAGACACGGUCCAGACUCCGUAGG